rnacentral:rRNA from 1 species
UACGGGGGGAGCAAGCGUUGUUCGGAUUUACUGGGCGUAAAGGGCGCGUAGGCGGUCGUGACAAGUCACUUGUGAAAUCUCCGGGCUUAACUCGGAACGGUCAAGUGAUACUGUCGGACUAGAGUACAGAAGGGGCAACUGGAAUUCUCGGUGUAGCGGUGAAAUGCGUAGAUAUCGAGAGGAACACCUGCGGCGAAGGCGGGUUGCUGGGCUGAAUACUGACGCUGAGGCGCGAAAGCCAGGGGAGCGAACGGG